CGCGAGGCCGAGGGUCGCUUGCUGCAUCCUUGUUGCUCUCGGGUGCGGUGCGGCGGAGCGGUGGUGCGGCGGCAGCGCGGCGCUAGGCGGGCGGGAGGCACCGAACCGGCGUCACUCACGUCGACUAGCUCUCCUCGAUCGUGCGUCUGGACCUCUCCUCUCCGCGAACUACGAUCACUCCGAACCUCAGCGGUACUAACUUGAGCGCGCGUCGCAUCCGACGACGCCGCAAUACUCUCAAAUUACAUCUUUUGUUUUUAAUAAAUUCCCAAUUCCUGUACCCAAUUAUUAUUUAAAAAAAAGAUUCAGUUUCAUUGAUAAUAAUUGAAUUUUUAUUGUACUUUUGAUUUAAAUUACUAUCGAGACUUGAAGUGUUGUUAACUAACAUAAACUUUGGUGAAAAAACUUAUUGGAUUGUUGGCGAAGUGAAAACAGUGAAAAAGGAAAGCGGUCGGCUGCGGGCCGUUGGACGUUCUGAUCUCAUUUAGAUCUGUCAAGGAGGACCCAUUAACGCCUUCUUGCAGUAAAUAGAUUGGAUAAACUUCUGCUCAGUGCUAAGGUAG